GCCGAGAUAGCUCAGUUGGUAGAGCACGUCCUUGGUAAGGACGAGGUCACCGGUUCAAUCCCGGUUCUCGGCUCCA
rnacentral:tRNA from 1 species